rnacentral:lncRNA from 10 species
AGGCGGUCCUGGAAUGUCGGCGGCCUGGACCCGGAUUACGCAGGCGCGUUCCGUGGGCGGCAAGGGCUCCUGGGGCUUCCUCCUAGCGACUAUUGCUGGGGCGUUCUCUCCGGCUGCCGCGGCUCCGCCUCUGUGCAGGCUCCGCCCGGCUGCCGAAGUUACGCAAUGUGUAGCCCGGGAAGCGCUUCGUGGAGACCCGGCAGAGUGGAUGCGGAGCCCUGGAGCGGGGGAGUAAUCGGGGCGGAGUUUAAGUGAAAGGAUGGCGGUAACCACAGUCUGGGGGCCAGCACCCGCGGGGCGCUUGCUGCGGGGCUCAGCCCUGGGGGUGUCGACUGAUUCUUUAAUCCCGACAGCACAGACUCCUGAGCUGGACUGCCCGAGUUCAAAUAUUGUUUUUUCUCACUAGCCUAAACAGAUGGACCGAUUUAAAAUGAAGGUCAAGUUCUGUCACACCUCGGGGUAGAACUGUCCAGUGUUUCCCCAUCUAGCCCCGAGUUAAAGUCAGAGUUAUUAGAACGGAUGCAUUAGCCCCUCGCCUUUCUCCGAGUCGCCUUACUCUCCCCACUGGUGGAUUCUAGGUUGCCCCCGGCUCCCUUAACAUCCUUGCUCAGAUAUUGCCUUCUUGGUGAGGUCUGUUCUGGCUGCCUUACUUAAAAUCCCAACUUCCUAUCUCUGUUAUCCUGCUCUGUUUUCUUGUAUAGCGGGUAUCCCUUUAUAAUUACCCUGUAAUGUACGUAUCUCUUGUUUAUCAUCUUUCUCCUUUUCCUGUGAACCCCAGACUGAAGCUGCACAGAGGCAAAGAUUUUGCUGUGUUCACCCAUGAACAUGCCUGGCACAUUGCAGGUGCACGCGUCUGACUGUCAUCCACGCUGGAGCGCUGUAGCACAAACACGGCUCACUGCAGCGUCAACCUCCUGAGCUCAAGAGAUCCUUCCACCUCAGCCUCUUGAGUAGCUGGGACCACAGACACAC